AGUUGAGACAUUUUUCUCAUCUCUUCACAUCUUGAUAAUGUUUUCCUCUUGCCUCCUUUAAAAACUUCAAAAGAAGGCAAUUUUCUUUUCUAAUUAAUAAUUUUUUGAUUAUAGCUAGGGUUGAUGUAAGGUUUGCGUAUCUACAUGGAUCUAUUUCUGUGCUGGUUUUGAGAGGCUGAAGCUGCCAGCAUGAUCUGAUCAUCCUGCGGCUUCAUUCACUCAAUCACCAACAAUGGCAAAACGAUGAACUUAAAUUUCAUGAGAAAAGCGAUUCCCGUUUGACUUUUGCGACUAGCCUCUAUCAUCACUCGAGUUUCAGAUUGGGUUCUUCGAGUAUAGGAAAUCAUGUAACGUUCGGAUAUCUAUAUCAGAUCGGGUUCAGUUUGGUGUCUUAAAAUUUGGUGUCUUCGGAUCCAGAUAAUUUACUCAGGUGUACUUAGAUUUUUAAUUAAUUUUAAUAUAAUAUAUUGACAAAAGGUGUAGUUUAUUGACAAGACACAUAAUUAUCAUAUUAAUAAUAGUUCAUCAAACUAUAGAAUUAGCCUAUCACCUUUACAUGCUGAAUGUGAAGCCUUUAUUUUGCAAAUGAAAUGCAUGAAGAUCCUAUAUUUUAUGGAAAUGAAGUUUGCAACGGACUAAGCUCAAUUGGUGAAGAUGGUGUCUGCACCGACAGAAUGGCUAGCUUUCGCACCCCUUCGAGGAAGUACAACGAUGUAAGACGCUCUUUCCACAUUUCUCACUCCAGCAUAUUUCUAGAGCAAAAAAAUAUUAUGGCAGAUAAACUUGCAUGAGGUGCAAGAACCUCUCGUUCAGCUAUGUACUAUGUUGGCACUUUGACUUCAACUUGGGAGAAUAUUUUUAUUAAAUCGUGAAAGUCUUUUCAUAUAGUAGUUCUUAAAAAUAAUUUAUAAAUUUACAAAAAAUAUUUUUAUGAGAGAAAAUAUUUAAUCUUAUUAGAAUUUUGGUCUCCCUAUAUAAAGAAAAUGUACACAUUUUCUCACACUCUCUCAAAUGGCUACAACAAAAAUGUAAUGUUACUCAUUCUAAAAC